rnacentral:rRNA from 1 species
AGCGGCGAAAGGGGGCGUAACACGUGGGCAAUCUACCAAGAAGUGGGGGAUAGCCCGGCGAAAGCCGAAUUAAUACCGCAUGUGAUGAGGGAAGACGUCUCUCCGAAAUCGAAGGUGGCGCAAGCUACCGCUUUUUGUGGGGCCCGCGGCCUAUCAGCUUGUUGGUGAGGUAACGGCUCACCAAGGCUAUGACGGGUAGCUGGUCUGAGAGGACGACCAGUCACACUGGGACUGAGACACGGCCCAGACACCUACGGGUGGCAGCAGUCGAGAAUUUUUGACAAUGGGGGAAACCCUGAUCGAGCGACGCCGCGUGGAGGAUGAAGGUCUUCGGGUUGUAAACUCCUGUCAUUUGGGAACAAGGCGUACGUAUUAACUGUGCGUGCGUUGAUAGUACCAGAAGAGGAAGAGACGGCUAACUCUGUGCCAGCAGCCGCGGUAAUACAGAGGUCUCAAGCGUUGUUCGGAUUCAUUGGGCGUAAAGGGUGUGUAGGUGGCGCGCUAAGUCGGGUGUGAAAUUUCGGAGCUUAACUCCGAAGCUGCAUUCGA